GAGCGCUGUCUUCUGGAUGUGACUUGGCCAUUGUACUCAGGAACUCAGCAGCCUCCGUACUUACACCAGACCCGGGCAAGAAAUGGGUUCAUCGGCAUUCUGCCAAGGAGAGAGAGUAGCAGGCUGGUCCACACCAAGACCCCAGUGAAGAACUGCAGCACACUCAUUAACAGCACACGGCACAGACAGUGGAACAGCCGGAUGACGCUCACGAUUCGAGGAGGGAGCCAAGCUGUCCCCUGAGAAGGAAGAGAUCUUUAAAGAAAAAAAGAUACAGAAAAUCCUAAUGAGAUACGAUGAAAGGAAGAAGAAUCCCCCAAGUCAGCAGAGAAUAGACUUUUGGGAGAAGUCAACACAUCCACACUGCCUCUGCUGGGGGAUGGAAUGAGCUAGCCA
rnacentral:sRNA from 1 species